rnacentral:lncRNA from 1 species
CCACCUUGAGCCUCAUAUUUGUUCAGACUUGCAUAUGGUGUUCUUUCUGUUCCUGUGUGAGAAUUUGUGGGACCCACCUGACGCAGACUGCAGUAUUCCAACAUUGCUAACAUCAUUUCCAACUUAUUGAAGCUGACAUACGCUCUGCACACAGUUUCCUGGUCAUAAUCCGCUGAUUCAUGUGGGUGGACUGAUCGAGACACUUCGUUUUGUGAUGUGACAGUGGUGCAUGCUCUUGAGAAGUCACUCCUUUAAAGAUGAAAGUGACUUUACCACAAGCAUGCAACUCUUGUGGAGGAAAGGGGGAUUUUUACUGGCUCCCUAAACAUGUCCUCUCCAGACACCAUUUGUGUAUAUGUCUGUGCUGUAAUGUACCACUUCUUGUUUACAUGUACUGUUGUUUACCAUUGGGUGUAGUGUGCUAGCAACGAUAAAUGUUUUAUGAUUGUUCGAAGAUGCAGAUCACUAAACCAACCAUUCAUAGCAUCUGAAUGGUUCAAAGAAUUUCUUUCUGAUGUUUUUUUGAUUUCCUCCUCCCUUUGCACUAAAGAAAUUAUGUGGGGAGGGAGCAGUGUUUGCUACUGACAAAGAUGGCCUGUGAGACAAAUCUGAAUUGUAAUUGUCAAACCAGCGUGAUACCAAGAUUGGGGAGGGGUGUCCAAAUGCAGUUUUUCAGUGUGGCAUAUUCAGUGUACUGUGGUCUGUUUCCACAAGGCUUGCCUGGCUUACAAGUGCUGUCCCUAGGCUUUAAGCAUGUAGGAAGCAAUAAAAACCUACAAAUUACAGUGCACCCAGGGCUCAGUAGAGGCUAUACAGUGCUGAUCAGAUUUACCAUUCACGCAUUCGUGUGGCAUUAGUGACGUAAACUGUAUUGUUCAGGAAGAAUCUUGGUUGCUGAUAAGGAUGUUAAAAUGCCUAUAGCCUGACCUUAAAUGUAUUAAGAAAGAGAGGCAGUUGUUUCCUCCACAGAAGGCAGGCGUAAGAUGAGCAGCUGGCAAUGUUCAUGAAAGGUAGCAAAAGAACACUGUGCAGUGCUGUGUACUGUUUCAUCUCCAACUGCAAAGCUGUAUGACACAAAUUUAAUCAUGGGGCUUGUGAGCCCCCCGAAAAAUGAGAGAUCCUGUUUUAAUGAGCAGGCUGCCAGCUUGAGGAGAAAAUCUGUAGAAACAGAGUUCUGAGAAUGAACGCUCCCAAUGUUGCUAUCAAGCUGGAUCACACUAGGGGGAUAGAUGAUGUUAUAGAACUCCUGUUUAAAAUGGGAAAGGUAUACUGGGGAACACGUAAUAAGGUCAAGAAGAACAGAUAAAGAAAGAAGUCUGUCAGUGUGGUCUUAUUUUAUACUGAGAUAUUGUUUAAUUAGCACUUAGCACUACAAGCGUUAAUAUUUGUGUGCUGUUAACAAAAAGGAUCUUUGACUUAUUUUUCAAAUUUGCACUUUCCUUAAAUAAUGCUGAUUUUGAUCAACUAGUCUUAGCAUUAAAGCUUUGUUUUAUCCUGGAAUUUUAUGAUGCUGUCAUCAGGUGCAUGGGGAGAUACAGUGGCCAGUAAGACAUCUGUUUUUCUGUUCAUCUCACAAUGCUGUCACCACAAAAGAUUUAAUACUAAUAUCAAGCUGUUUUCUUUAACAAUCACUAAUAGAACUAAUUACAGUAACUCCUGUGGAACGUAGUUCUCUGUGGGUGCUCUACAGUAAUUCUCAUUAUUUCUUCCCGUGCAACGCUGGGAAUGUGUUUCCAUUUUGUGACUGCAUCUUCAGGACACAUCAGGGAGCUAGCAGGCUGCCUUACUUGCUUACUUGCUCUGAAUUGCAGAACUGCUCUCAUAUGUCAGGAAUCAUGCAGCAGGAAGCCCUGCCCUUACAAUGAAGUGGGUACGGUUUGGACACCUUCUGACUGAAGGGCUGCACAUAGAGGAAGAGCCCUGCAAACACUGGUGGCAUACAGCGUUCUGAAAGCUUUUCCCAGCAGCAGACGCACACACAGGAUGAGACACAAUGGUCACUUCUGUAGACAGAUGCUGGGGGCAACCUUGGCCACAAGGCACCAGUGAAGCUUUGGUAUGGCAGCACAGCUUUGUGCCACUGCCGUUUGUGUGCUUGCAAAGCCCUUCUUUGGCUGAGCAGGUCUCUGUGCCAAGAGGAAGCGUCACUAUUGUUUCAUCACUUCUGAAAGGCCAGCAAAUUCAGACUACAUACCACAGUAUAUAUAUGUAUAUAUAUAUAUAGAAAUAACUUUUAAUUAAAAAAACAACCUUGCAUCAAAGAUUAUAGUAUCAGACAUUGAGGCAAGAUUCAAGUUUAAGACAAACCAGUGUUAAAAAAAAAAAAGUUUAAAAAAAUAAUCAGAAUGUGCAAUAAACUACAAUGUAGCAAUAGGUUGUAGUGUUGAAACUUUACUGAACUGUUUUCAGAUGUCCAGUGUAUAUUUCCUGUCAUUCUGACAAAAAAAAAAAGAAGACACUAUAACUGGGUCAUCUGUCCAGUGCCGUUCAGUUCCAGAUAUUACACACAGAAGAAACUUGUGCACAAAAACAGAGACUCCUAUAAUAUUGCCUUCAACUGUCCUACACAGAAAGAACUUCCCUUCGGUAAAUUAUACCUACAUUCAAUGCUUAAUCUUUGUUAAUACCUCUUGAGAUUGCAGAUACAUUCCAAACUAUCCUAUUUAGAUGCGGAAGGUGCGCAGUGCCCGAGCGUGACUGUUGGCUACAGUCAAUCCCCUUGCUGUUUAAAUUUCCAUGCUAUUACAAACAUUUUUCAAGACUUUGAUUCUUUUUCUUUCGCUGAAGAUAAGAGCCUUAUCUUUGUUAAGUUUGGGUGGGUUCCAGGUGUUGCAGAAUGGAUUAGCCAUUCCCCAGCGUUGUGAUGCCCUAACCUGCAUGUAUUGUUCUGCUAUAACAAGAGUGGUUUUCUCAAUUCAGUACAAUUUGUAGUUUUGGUUAAUGACGACUUCUGGAGUUAUUUUUUGUUUGGAGUUCUGUUGAGAUUGUUAAUUAAGAGUAUCACAUCAAGGAUUGUGGUUUGUUGAGGUUUUCAGUGAUACAAAUGCUUGCUGCUGAUGGAUGUACUCAGCAAAAAAAGAUGAAUCUCCAAGAGGAGAGGGUGUCUUUGAAGCAAAGGGCUUCUGGCAACUUUGUGUCUGUUAGUGUGGCGCAGCCAUCCCCUUAGGCCUGAACCCAUGAACAAAGCCUGGCCAGCCAUCGCAGAUCUCCAGAAGGAACUCUCUGAACCAUCUAGCACUCGAAUCUAUGCAAUGGCCAAGGUAACAAAAGACUGAAAGCCCUUGACCUAUGUCCCAUCCCCAAGAGCACAGCUGAAGCGCGAACUUGGAAGUAACAACUGGAGCAUGUUUGUCUCAGGAGUGCUUUGAUGGCCUGAGUAAAGGCAGGUAAAGCCUCUUUGGGGAUUGGCAAAAUUCUUACAACCACGGGACAGGAUUGCCAGCUCUCAUCUCUCCUGCCUCGUGAUGAUCCAGGUGUCUUUCCUCUAUCAUAGGCUUUUUUAUGUUUUUGCAAGAGCUAGGCUUAGAAAAGGGAAGUGAACGCUUUUCACCCAUCUAGCUGUUACCUCUGCGCUGCUAGGCUCACUGUAAUGUCAGGAAUUUGUAGGUGAAUAUCCCCAAGGAGAUGCUGACUUUUUCAUUUUCUCUGUGGCUGAGGUGGGAACGUAGCUACCUGGCUGCAGAAAAUGGCUGAGAAGACUGAUUCUGGCCCACCAUGGGGUGACCAUGAAAAGUGUCAUAUGUCUUUUGUGCCGGUAGUAACUUUUUACAGGGUAAUACUUUAUUUGAAGUGCCCUAUUGCUAUGGGUUCAUUUGCUAUUCAUUGUGAUAGCACAGAGUGUAAUGAGCUCAUCUAGUAUUCAUGGCAGUGUCACAAGUGCUUUGCUAGGUGUUCUGUUGCUGCAUUUAAGGUAUGUCGGUAUUAAACUGCCACCAGCUGGGUUGGUUUUUUUUUUGUCCUUAAGAGGGGGAAAAAAACCAACAGAGCCAAUCUAAGCUACUCAGUGUUUCCGAAAAAGCCCAUCUGUAUCCUCAGGCCCAAUUCCAGAUGCCAAAUCUCCUUCUGCUACCCAGCUGCUCCUUUCCUUCUGUGUCCUCACCUGGCCUACAGGAGCAUGUCUGCUCUUGCACUACAUUCUUUCUUGCACAUGACAUUGCGGUGCUGGAUUGAUUUCUGUGCCAAGGUACCCUUAAUUAAGGUCGUUUGACUUAUGCAGCAUUUGUGGCAUCAAAGCAUAUGUUUCUUCCUGAGCCAUGAAGUACAAGUUGCAGUAAUAGCAACAGUAAUGAGCAGCAGACACUUACAUAGUGCUAAUGACUUAAGGUCACAUUCUUCAUUGUUCACAAGCAUUUGGACUGCCAGUGGGGAUUCACGAAAAUACUUGAAGAUUGGAAAGAUUUUUAAGUGGUAACAUGUAAAAAUUCUUGUCAGGACUGCUUUAAUACUAUUCCCUGGUCAGUAUUCCAUGUUAGAAAUGUUUCAGCUGUUCAUUCGUGGUGACAAAGCCCUCUGGAGCACAGUGCACAGGACAUCAAUUCCUAGCACAAGGUUUGCCUUUUACACUUGCUUGGAGACUUUAUUUCACGCCCUGAAAAAACAGGAGAAUUUUUAUUACUUUUCACUUGAAACUCAAAGGCACAUCACUGAGUGGUGUUGUGGAGGCAGCAAUUAAGUGCAGACUGAAUUUCCACACCAAGGUAAAAGGUUCACAGAGAGGCUCCAAAACUGUUCAUCCAUCAGUCUCCCUUAACUAGAGUCCGUGCAUAGGAAGGUCAAAAUGACUAACUAGGUUAACCAUACUCUGCAAUAAUACGGGUGACACACAGCAUCUAAUUACUGCAGGAUCAGAGAAGAGGUGGGGAUAGCGGGCCAAGUUUCACUGGCUUUAAUUUAGAACUAAAGCAUCCAUUAUUUAAUUACCUGUAAUUAUUAAAUGAUCUGAAUGUAAUUCACAUCCCCAUAAUUGUUGCAGGUACUUGAAAGGAGCUUUCCAUCACUUUCAAGCACUAGAUUCUGGUGUGUUUGGACACUCAUUAAAAUAAAUAUUAGUGUGACAGAAAAUCAAGCUGGUGUCCAGCUGUGCAAAAUCUGGUGAGCACAGGAGCUGUGCUGUGACGUGGACCAACGUGGAAGUCAUGCAUAUCAGAAGUUUCCUCUUAUGUGAUAAGAGAUAGAAAGGUGAAUUGGUUCUUGAUGUCUUCGCUAAUUGUUGUUAAUCACAAGAGCCCUCUCUUCUCCCACAGACCGUCUGCGCAAACCAAAGAAAUAAACAUAGGGCUACAUUUGGCUUUACCCAACGGCUUCUAGGUGAUGGCUGUAUUGUGUUUUGGUUUUUGGCUUGUGCUUUGUUUAUUAAUCCCAACCAAAUCAAUUUCUUAUUUUCCCAUCUAGCUAGGAGAUAAUUAACUUGCAUGAUGAUGCUUUACAAUAUCUGUUAAAUAUUACUUUUGAAGCAAACUAAGCUAAUGACACGGGCAAUUAAGCCUCAUGCAUCAGGAUAUAAAAUGAUUGGUGUCAGAUUCAGGAUGGCUUUAUUCCCACCACCACUGGCCCUGGGUCAAUAUGACUACGCAUGAAUGCCUGGAGCCAAUGAGUGGGGGAAUGUGCGUUGCUCUUCUCUGGAGCAGUGAGCUUUAUAGGAAAGAGUUGGGUUAAUAGUCUGUCCCAGUGUGCCAGACACCACGAUGAAGUUCUGGAUGUCUCAGCAAGCUUUUGUUGUUUUGGUUCUCGUCCUGCUGGCUGAUUUUUGAAUGAUGAGUGAUAGUAUGAUAUUUACAAACCUAUUUUACAUCUUGCUUUCUUUCUAAGGGAGGCAAUCGUUGUUUCCGUGUGUUUUUAAUAUAAUCUUCUCUGAUUUUGUUCCUCCUUCCAGUUGUGAAUUGAGGAUGAAUAUCACUGAUAAAAUGGAGGUCUCAGCCCCUGCGUGGGCUUAUGUUCAGGAUGUCCCUGCUGUGACAGUCACCAGAAUUUACCUGAUUCUUCACUGGAAUUUAUUUUUUUAUAUAUCACUUACAGUAAUAUUAUAUGCCCUUCUUUAUUUUUAAUUAGUUUGCCUGUUCUGUAGUGGUAAUGUGUUUCAAUUCUCAGAGCAACCUAGUGGCCAA